rnacentral:rRNA from 1 species
CACGCAGGCGGUUUUUUUAAGUCAGAUGUGAAAGGUACCGGCUCAACCGGUGACAUGCAUUUGAAACUGAAAGACUUGAGUAUUGGAGAGGCAAGUGGAAUUCCUAGUGUAGCGGUGAAAUGCGUAGAUAUUAGGAGGAACACCGGUGGCGAAGGCGGCUUGCUGGACAAAUACUGACGCUGAGGUGCGAAAGCGUGGGGAGCAAACA